ACUAGGGGAAGGUCAAGUGCGAGCAGCUUCCAUAAAGGCCCACACUCUGAGACACUUAGGUCUUUGGAAAGUCCCAAGUGAAGAACUGAGGCUUCCUGCCAAUUGUUAAGGUUGAGUCUUCUUGAAAGCAAGUCCUCCAGUUCCAAUCAAGCCUUCAGACAACUUUAGUCCCUGCCAACAUGCUGAGUGCAACCUGAAUCAUGUACUAAGCUUCUCCCAAGUUCUUGACUCCCCCCCAAACUGUGGGGAACCACUGGAUGGAUUCAGGCUGACUUAGUCAAGGGAAUGCCGUGGAACUUGUACUUUGCCUCCACAUCAACAGUAGCACCUGCGGUGACCCUUUUCAGAAGCGUCCCUGCUCACUUUCUUCAGGACAAAGCUUUUCCUUUCUCCCUGAACUUUGACAGGACCUAUCCUCUGAGGUGAAAAGGUAAAAAUAUUUGCCAUGCCCUGUGAUGAAUUCAGAAAAGAACUGGUCACGGGGCUUAUGUGGUUUCAGGAGCAGAGGUAAGCUCUGUAGGAGAGGUACAAUAACAAAUCACUGUGUGGAUUCCAAGAGGGAAUGCGGGACAGCCUUAGAAGUCCCUUUACUAUAAAGUCACCCUUAUCCCCCGUUUUCUUCACACAAUAGGAAAAAGUGAUAGAGCUGGGAAAAAUCCGGUGGAAGCUGUUAUUUUGUUUUUGCUUUUUUUCUUUGUUUUGUUUUUGAGAGGGAGGUAGAGGGCCCAAGUUGAGCCAGUGGCAGAGAGAGA